GUAACUGGAAGCAUGUCGAUUGAGUUUACAUCUGAAUACUGUUUGGUCUACAGUACCGGGGUAUUUCACCCUGCUCUUCUGCAUCAUUUAUAUCUGCCUUCUCCAUGUAUGAAUAUAUUUUCCAGUGAUUAUUUUGGGUUUGGGCUUUAAUCAGAUGUUGAUUGAUUUGCAGAAGCUGCACCGAGAGCUUGUUCAUGUAACAGAGGUGUAAAUAGUGUAACUGUGUAUCAUACUGUACAUUGAUUGUGGGAAGACUUGUGUUUGCCUGCUGAAGACUGGGAUGAAUCUGGAGAAGAGAGGACGGGAUGUUUGUGUGCUUUCAUACUACAGCUGAACUAAAGGAGAAUUCUAUUUAUUUGGGAUAAUUACACACUAAUCUGUUUUAAUUUAGACUGAUGGAACACAAUGAAGGAAUAAUGAGUAGUUCGAGUGAUGAUUUGCCUCCUAAAUAAACCUGAUUUGAGAAACAUGAA